AAUAAGCGCAGGCAUGAGUUUCCGCGCUCAACUUUUAUCGUUCGUCUUAUUUGAUUAAAAAAAUAUUAAUCGUAAAAACAACAAUAUUCUACUAUUAACAUGAAUAGUACUUUACUCGUGACUUAUGUUUUUAAUUUUUUCAAAAAAAAAUUAAAUAAAACGAAUGGCCAAAGUUAGACGCGAAAAAACAUGGUUGCACUUAUU
rfam:Oryza meridionalis cultivar OR44 (W2112) chromosome 6, whole genome shotgun sequence.